rnacentral:tRNA from 1 species
GCUGCGGUGUCCGAGCGGUUAAGGAGUUGGACUUGAAAUCCAAUGCGUUCUACCCUCACAGGUUCGAAUCCUGUCCACAGCG